rnacentral:rRNA from 1 species
ACGGCAGCAGGUAAGUACUUGUACUUAUGCUGACGAGUGGCGGACGGGUGAGUAAUGCUUGGGAAUCUGUCUUAUGGAGGGGGGUAACGACGGGAAACUGUCGCUAAUACCGCGUAGAAUCGGGAGAUGAAAGUGUGGGACCUUCGGGCCACAUGCCAUAGGAUGAGCCCAAGUGUGAUUAGGUAGUUGGUGGGGUAAAGGCCUACCAAGCCGACGAUCGCUAGCUGGUCUGAGAGGAUGGCCAGCCACACCGGGACUGAGACACGGCCCGGACUCCUACGGGAGGCAGCAGUGGGGAAUAUUGCGCAAUGGGGGCAACCCUGACGCAGCCAUGCCGCGUGAAUGAAGAAGGCCUUCGGGUUGUAAAGUUCUUUCGGUGAUGAGGAAGGUUGGUGUGUUAAUAGCAUGCCAAAUUGACGUUAAAUACAGAAGAAGCAC